rnacentral:rRNA from 1 species
UUGUCUCAAAGAUUAAGCCAUGCAUGUCUCAGUACAAGCCAAAUUAAGGUGAAACCGCGAAAGGCUCAUUAAAUCAGUUAUGGUUCCUUAGAUCGUACCCAAACCUACUUGGAUAACUGUGGUAAUUCUAGAGCUAAUACAUGCAAACAGAGCUCCGACCGGAUGACGGAAGGAGUGCUUUUAUUAGAUCAAAACCAAUCGGUGGCGACCUCGGUCGUCAUCGCCCAACUUGGUGACUCUGAAUAACUUUACGCUGAUCGCACGGUCUCGCACCGGCGACGCAUCUUUCAAAUGUCUGCCUUAUCAACUGUCGAUGGUAGGUUCUGCGCCUACCAUGGUUGUAACGGGUAACGGGGAAUCAGGGUUCGAUUCCGGAGAGGGAGCCUGAGAAACGGCUACCACAUCCAAGGAAGGCAGCAGGCGCGCAAAUUACCCACUCCCGGCACGGGGAGGUAGUGACGAAAAAUAACGAUACGGGACUCAUCCGAGGCCCCGUAAUCGGAAUGAGUACACUCUAAACCCUUUAACGAGGAUCAAUUGGAGGGCAAGUCUGGUGCCAGCAGCCGCGGUAAUUCCAGCUCCAAUAGCGUAUAUUAAAGUUGUUGCGGUUAAAAAGCUCGUAGUCGGAUCUGUGUCUCGCGCCGCCGGUUCAUCGUCCGCGGUGUCAACUGGCGUGUCGCGAGACGUAUUGCCGGUGGGCUUAGCCCGUCAGGGCGGCCCAAACAAUCCCGCCGCGGUGCUCUUCACUGAGUGUCGAGGUAGGCCGGCACGUUUACUUUGAACAAAUUAGAGUGCUUAAAGCAGGCUAGAAUUUUGCCUGAAUACUGUGUGCAUGGAAUAAUGGAAUAGGACCUCGGUUCUAUUUUGUUGGUUUUCGGAACUCCGAGGUAAUGAUUAAUAGGAACGGAUGGGGGCAUUCGUAUUGCGACGUUAGAGGUGAAAUUCUUGGACCGUCGCAAGACGAACAGAAGCGAAAGCAUUUGCCAAAAACGUUUUCAUUGAUCAAGAACGAAAGUCAGAGGUUCGAAGGCGAUCAGAUACCGCCCUAGUUCUGACCAUAAACUAUGCCAGCUAGCGAUCCGCCGACGUUCCUCCGAUGACUCGGCGGGCAGCUUCCGGGAAACCAAAGCUAUUGGGUUCCGGGGGAAGUAUGGUUGCAAAGCUGAAACUUAAAGGAAUUGACGGAAGGGCACCACCAGGAGUGGAGCCUGCGGCUUAAUUUGACUCAACACGGGAAACCUCACCAGGCCCGGACACCGGAAGGAUUGACAGAUUGAGAGCUCUUUCUUGAUUCGGUGGGUGGUGGUGCAUGGCCGUUCUUAGU